rnacentral:rRNA from 1 species
AUGGCGGCCGCGGCGCGGGAGGGGGAGUUCAGCGAGCGCGAGCUCGAGGUGGCCGCCAUUCUCGCCGACCUGCCGUCCAUCGUGCGGGCCUGCAACCGCCGCCGCCGCCAGCAGGAGAAGCAGCAGCAGGCGCGGCCGGAGAUCCCCUCCUGGGGCCGGCGCCGGCCGCGGAGGGCCCCGGCGGCGCCGCCGGCCGAGAAGCCCGCGGCGGCCGGUGAUGACGAGAGGAGCGAGGGCGUCGCCAGCCCGGACACCCCGCUCGCCUUCCCGGAGGACGACGAGCACGCCGAGGCCGCCGCCGCGGCGGCCGUGGAGGACGCGGCCAAGGCCACCGCGCAGGACAAGGUGAGCCGCCGGGCCGCGAGAUCUGCGCCCGCCCGCCUCCCUCCGCCAAUCCGGCCCGCCUCGAUUCCGAUUUCUCGCUCCUCGUUGACGUCUCCCUCUGUUCAGUGGGCGCAGGAGCAGCGCGGCGUGGUCGCGAGCUUGUCCCACGAGAACGCCCAUCUCCUAAAGCAAAUCGAGGACUUCAGGGCCCGGCUGCACACCUCGCGGAGCACCAACGACAGCCUCAAGCAGAUUCACCAGAGCAAGCACAAGAAGCGGCACCGGCCGGAGGAGGAGGAGGAGGGGCAUAGAUGGAAGCUGCCGCAGGCGCGCGCCGCCGACCGGCCGGCGCUGGACCUCAACGAGCCGGCGGAGGCCGACGCCGAGGACGGCAGGCCGCCGCAGACUGCCGCUCUGGCGGCGGCGCAGUGGGUCCACCGAGGGCACCACCAGCAGAACCAGCAGCAGCAGCUGAUGCAGAUGCAGCACAAGGCGGCGCGGCGGCGGCGGCAGGAGAUCCGGCGGGCCAAGGCCGCGGCGGGCAGGACGCGGCGGCAAGGAUAA